GGUUAAGCGAAUAAGCGUACACGGUGGAUGCCCUGGCAGUCAGAGGCGAUGAAGGACGUGCUAAUCUGCGAUAAGCGUCGGUAAGGUGAUAUGAACCGUUAUAACCGACGAUUUCCGAAUGGGGAAACCCGGUGCACUCAGUGCAUCAUCGCAACAUGAAUACAUAGUGUUGCGAAGCGAACCGGGGGAACUGAAACAUCUAAGUACCCCGAGGAAAAGAAAUCAACCGAGAUUCCCCCAGUAGCGGCGAGCGAACGGGGAGGAGCCCGGAACCAUCAUCAGUGUGUGUAUUAAUGGAAGCGUCCGGAAUGUCGCACGAUACAGGGUGAAAGUCCCGUACAUGAAAAUACACACAUUGUGAGUUCGAAGAGUAGGGCGGGACACGUGGUAUCCUGUCUGAAUAUGGGGGGACCAUCCUCCAAGGCUAAAUACUCCUGACUGACCGAUAGUGAACCAGUACCGUGAGGGAAAGGCGAAAAGAACCCCGGCGAGGGGAGUGAAAAGAACCUGAAACCGUGUACGUACAAGCAGUGGGAGCACCUUUA
rnacentral:rRNA from 1 species